rnacentral:SRP_RNA from 1 species
GCUGGGUAUGGUGGUGCAUGCCUGUAAUCCCAGCUACUCGGAGGCCGAGGCGGGAGAAUCGCUUGAACCUGGGAGGCGGAGGCUGCAGUGAGCUGAGAUCGCGCCACUGCACUCCAGCCUGGAUGACAGAGGGAGACCCUGUCUCAA